rnacentral:piRNA from 1 species
UCACAAAACUCAUAGCCCUAA